rnacentral:rRNA from 1 species
AUUGGACGCUGGCGGCAGGCCUAACACAUGCAAGUCGAGCGGAUGAAGAGAGCUUGCUCUCUGAUUUAGCGGCGGACGGGUGAGUAAUGCCUAGGAAUCUGCCUGGUAGUGGGGGAUAACGUUCCGAAAGGAACGCUAAUACCGCAUACGUCCUACGGGAGAAAGCAGGGGACCUUCGGGCCUUGCGCUAUCAGAUGAGCCUAGGUCGGAUUAGCUAGUUGGUGAGGUAAUGGCUCACCAAGGCUACGAUCCGUAACUGGUCUGAGAGGAUGAUCAGUCACACUGGAACUGAGACACGGUCCAGACUCCUACGGGAGGCAGCAGUGGGGAAUAUUGGACAAUGGGCGAAAGCCUGAUCCAGCCAUUCCGCGUGUGUGAAGAAGGUCUUCGGAUUGUAAAGCACUUUAAGUUGGGAGGAAGGGCAGUAAGUUAAUACCUUGCUGUUUUGACGUUACCGACAGAAUAAGCACCGGCUAACUUCGUGCCAGCCGCCGCAGUAAAAC